rnacentral:rRNA from 1 species
AUUAAUAAAAAUUAUUUUAAUUUUAAAUUUUAGUUAUUUAGAAAAAAAAAUUUAUUGUUUAGUAAUUUGUUAAGAAAAAAUUGAAUUUAUAAUAGUAAAUUAGUAUUGAGAAAGAAAUUUAUUUAUAAAUAUUAAAGAAAAAUUAUUUUUGUACCUUGUGUCUCAGGGUUAAUCAAUAAAUAUAAAAAUUGAUUUAUCUCGAAUUUAAAAGAGCUAAGAAUGUAUAAUUAUUAUUGUGUAAAAAAUAUAUUAAAUAUAUUAUUAGUAGUGAAAUGUUAAACGUUUUUAAAUAUAUCUAGUUAUUUAAGAAAAAAAUUUAAUUUUUUUAUUAAUAAAUAUUUAUUUAAUUUUUUAUAAUAAUAUUUUUAAUAAAAAAUUUUUUAGGGGAUGAGCUUUAAAAAUUAUAAUUAAAAAUUAAUAAAUAAUAAAAAUUUAUAGGAUUAGAAUUUUUCAUUAUUAAAAUUAUGUUAUAAUUAAUUUUUUUAGUAAAAUUAUUUAUAUUUAUUUUAAUUUUUUUAUUAAAUUAAUAAUUUAAAUUAUUGAAAUUAUGAAAUAAUGAUUAAAUUAGUAAUUUUAUGUUUAAAGUUAAAUUAAAAUUUUAGGUUAAUUAAAGGAAUUCGGCAAAUUAUUUUUCACCUGUUUAUUAAAAACAUGGCCUUUUGUUUAUAAUUUAAGGUCUAGCCUGCCCACUGAGGAAUUAAAUGGCCGCGGUAUAUUGACCGUGCUAAGGUAGCAUAAUCAUUAGUUUUUUAAUUGAAAGCUGGAAUGAAUGGUUGGAUGAAAAAAUUACUGUCUCUAAUUAAUUUGUAGUGAAUUUUAUUAUUAAGUGAGAAUGCUUAAAUAUAUUUAAAAGACGAGAAGACCCUAUAGAGUUUUAUAUUAACAAUAAUUUUAAUUUUUAGUAUUUUAAAUUGUAAUUAUUUUAAAUAUUUAAUUGGGGUGAUUGAAAAAUAAGUUAAACUUUUUUUAUUAUAAACCAUUAAUUUAUGAAAGUUUGAUCCAUUAAUAAUGAUUAUAAGAAUAAAUUACCUUAGGGAUAACAGCGUAAUUUUUUUUGAGAGUUCAAAUCGAAAAAAAAGAUUGCGACCUCGAUGUUGGAUUAAAAUAAAUUUAUGGUGUAGAAGCUAUAAAGAUUGGGUCUGUUCGACCUUUAAAAUUUUACAUGAUCUGAGUUUAAACCGGUGUGAGCCAGGUUGGUUUCUAUCUUUAAAAUAAUAAAAUAUUUUAGUACGAAAGGACCAAAUAUUUAGUAUAAUAUUUUUUAUUUGAAUAUUAGU